GACCUGGCUGGGUGGUCCGCUUAACGGCGUGUACUGCCUGGCUGGGCCUUACCUCCUGGUGAGCCGGCGUGCCCUUUAUUGGUGUGCGUCGGGGAACCAGGACUUUUACCUUGAGAAAAUUAGAGUGCUCAAAGCAGGCCUAUGCCCGAAUACAUUAGCAUGGAAUAAUGAAAUAGGGCUUCAGUUCUAUUUUGUUGGUUUUCAGAAUCCGAAGCA
rnacentral:rRNA from 1 species